CCAAAACAUCUAGCAUUUUUUAUUAAAUUUAAAAGUCUUUUAUCUUUUUUAGAGGAUGAUCAAGACAUGAAAAUUUAUUGCAGCAGUAUAAGACUCAACCAGUUCAUUUAAAAGUGACUUCUAUUUAGAAUAUAUUCCAUGUUUCUGUCAGAUGAGUCAUCUGCCAAGUUUCUGGUGAUCUGCAGUGGUGUUGGUCAAUGCAAGAAAACAGCAACACACUCUGAAGGGUAUUCAUGUCAUCAGAAGUCUAGGAAAAUUUACUUACUUCUAAGCAGAGAACAGUUUAUUGAGAAUCAGUAGGGUUCAAUGGGUCCAAAUGUUGCUGAGAUUUAGAGGCAUGAGCAUACUUCUCAGAACCUGUCAGAUACAAUGAAACUUCCAGAUGAUCAUUCUACUUGAGCAAAUUCACCUAUAUAGAGAGAACAUAGAGUUUGCCUGGGUAGCAAUAAUCUUGUUUAUAAGAAACAUAUGGUAUACAUAUUCCUGAAUUUGUGAGGGUUUUAGAUACAGUUGUUAUAUCUUACAAACCAAUUCUACAGAGUAGAUUAACUAUAUUAGCUAUAACUAUAAUCCUAAUAAGUCUUUACAGUCAUUCAGUCAUUAUUCAUAUGUAUACUGAGUUCACUAGUUUGAAUUUUAUUCUAAUCAUAAUAGGAAGUGUCUGGAAGAUUUUAAGCAGGCAAUUGAUAAAAUCUGGUUUAUCCUUUGAGAUUACUAUGGCUGCUCUGAGGAAGCUGGCCUGUUGGGGGCAAAGAACGGCAGCAAUGAGACCCAUUAGGACGACUUUGCAGUAUCCAGCAGAGAAGUCAUGAUAGCUUGGAUUAAAAUGGCAGCAGUGACAUGUACAUGGUUUUAGGAGGAAAUGUAGGGAAGGUAUGGAAGACAUCAAGGAAAACUGGCUGGAUGACGUAAUGCAUGAACUGGAGUUUAAAGGACAAGAAGAGUUAACCAGAUGAACAAAGAAGAAAGAACAAGAGCAAGCAAGAGCAAGAACAUGUGCAAAGGCACAAGGCAUAAAACACUUUGUAUGUUUAGAUAAUUAUAAACUCACUAUGUA